rnacentral:rRNA from 1 species
ACGGAGGGUGCAAGCGUUGUUCGGAAUUAUUGGGCGUAAAGCGCGUGUAGGCGGCCAGGCAAGUCGGGUGUGAAAUCCCGGGGCUCAACCCCGGAACUGCUCUCGAAACUGCCUGGCUAGAGUCCCGGAGAGGAAGGCGGAAUUCCCGGUGUAGAGGUGAAAUUCGUAGAUAUCGGGAGGAACACCAGUGGCGAAGGCGGCCUUCUGGACGGUGACUGACGCUGAGACGCGAAAGCGUGGGGAGCAAACAGG